rnacentral:rRNA from 1 species
GCCUACGGGGGGCAGCAGUGGGGAAUAUUGCACAAUGGGGGAAACCCUGAUGCAGCGACGCCGCGGGAGUGAAGAAGUAUUUCGGUAUGUAAAGCUCUAUCAGCAGGGAAGAAAAUGACGGUACCUGACUAAGAAGCCCCGGCUAACUACGUGCCAGCAGCCGCGGUAAUACGUAGGGGGCAAGCGUUAUCCGGAUUUACUGGGUGUAAAGGGAGCGUAGACGGCAUGGCAAGUCAGAUGUGAAAGCCCGGGGCUCAACCCCGGGACUGCAUUUGAAACUGUAAGGCUGGAGUGCAGGGGAGGUA